rnacentral:tRNA from 1 species
GGUGGGGUUCCCGAGCGGCCAAAGGGAGCAGACUGUAAAUCUGCCGUCAUCGACUUCGAAGGUUCGAAUCCUACCCCCACCACCA